UCAAUAGCUUGCUAAUGAAAUUCUUAGUGGCGGACGGGUUAGUAACACGUGAGAAUCCUACCCUUGAGUGGGGAAUAGCCUUUCGAAAGGAAGAUUAAUGCCCCAUAGUCUCUACGGAGUAAAGAUGCCUUCGGGUGUCGCUUAAGGAUGGGCUCGCGGCCUAUCAGCUAGUUGGUGAGGUAAGAGCUCACCAAGGCAACGACGGGUAGCUGGUCUGAGAGGACGAUCAGCAACACUGGAACUGAGACACGGUCCAGACACCUACGGGUGGCAGCAGUCGAGAAUCAUUCACAAUGGACGAAAGUCUGAUGGUGCAACGCCGCGUGGAGGAUGACGGCCCUAGGGUUGUAAACUCCUGUCAUCAGGGAGUAAGACUUAUUCGUUAAUAGCGUGUAAGUUUGAUAGUACCUGAAGAGGAAGGGACGGCUAACUUCGUGCCAGCAGCCGCGGUAAUACGAAGGUCCCAAGCGUUGUUCGGAAUAACUGGGCGUAAAGCGUGUGUAGGCCGCGCGGAAAGUCGGAUGUGAAAGCCCAAGGCUCAACCUUGGAACUGCAUCCGAUACUCCCGUGCUAG
rnacentral:rRNA from 1 species